GAUGAACGCUAGCGGCAGGCUUAACACAUGCAAGUCGAGGGGCAGCACGGAAGUGGUAACACUUUUGGUGGCGACCGGCGGACGGGUGCGGAACGCGUAUGCAACCUACCGACAACGUGGGGAUAACGGAUGGAAACGGCCACUAAUACCUGAUAAUAUCAUUGGAGGCAGCUUGGGUGGUUGCAAGAGUUUUGGUUGUUGAUGGGCAUGGGUAACAUUAGUUAGUGGGUGGGGUAACAGAUCACCAAGGCUACGAUGUGGAGGGGGACUGAGAGGUUAACCCCCCAGACUGGAGCUGAGACACGGUCCAGACUCCUACGGAGGGCAGCAGUGUGGAAUAUUGGUCAAUGGGCGAAAGCCUGAACCAGCCAUGCCGCGUGCAGGAAGACGGCUCUAUGAGUUGUAAACUGCUUUUAUACGAGGGUAAUUGCGCGAACGUGUGCGUGUUUGAAAGUAUCGUAUGAAUAAGGAUCGGCUAACUCCGUGCCAGCCGCCGCAGUAA
rnacentral:rRNA from 1 species